GCGACCCCAGGUCAGGCGGGGUUACCCGCUGAGUUU
rnacentral:rRNA from 1 species